GACGAACGCUGGCGGCGUGCUUAACACAUGCAAGUCGAACGGAAAGGCCCUGCUUUUGUGGGGUGCUCGAGUGGCGAACGGGUGAGUAACACGUGAGUAACCUGCCCUUGACUUUGGGAUAACUUCAGGAAACUGGGGCUAAUACCGGAUAGGAGCUCCUGCUGCAUGGUGGGGGUUGGAAAGUUUCGGCGGUUGGGGAUGGACUCGCGGCUUAUCAGCUUGUUGGUGGGGUAGUGGCUUACCAAGGCUUUGACGGGUAGCCGGCCUGUGAGGGUGACCGGCCACACUGGGACUGAGAUACGGCCCAGCCUCCUACGGGAGGCAGCAGUGGGGAAUAUUGCACAAUGGGCGGAAGCCUGAUGCAGCGACGCCGCGUGCGGGAUGACGGCCUUCGGGUUGUAAACCGCUUUCGCCUGUGACGAAGCGUGAGUGACGGUAAUGGGUAAAGAAGCACCGGCUAACUACGUG
rnacentral:rRNA from 1 species